UGCGUGACCAACCUCGCCCCAUGCUCCAGAAUAGCUCUUGGAAACGGGUGGUAAUGCUGGAUGCUCCAACUUGACGCAUGUCUUGUUGGGAAAGUGUUUAGUGGCAUGGGAUGGGGUCGCGUCCUAUCAGCUUGUAGGCGGGGUAAUGGCCCACCUAGGCUUCGACGGGUAGCCGGCCUGAGAGGGCGGACGGCCACAUUGGGACUGAGAUACGGCCCAGACUCCUACGGGAGGCAGCAGC
rnacentral:rRNA from 1 species